rnacentral:lncRNA from 1 species
UAGCUUGUAUGGGAUGAAACACAUUCCUGCAUGGAUCAAAUAUUUGUAUGCUGGUGCAUAAAAAUAUUACAAAUGAUUGUGAUACACAUUAUACACCUGGUAAACUAUUAACCAAUCAACAUCGCAUAAUCAGAUAUAGAAAGCAACUGAGCGCCACGUUACAUGCAUGGUUGUCGUUGGUUUGCUGGCUGUUGCUAGCUAGCAGCUGGCUGAUCAUGUGGGUGAAAAACCACCAAGAUAUUCUUCUCUAAGGACUUUAGAGUUGA